rnacentral:rRNA from 1 species
GACGAACGCUGGCGGCGUGCUUAACACAUGCAAGUCGAACGGAAAGGCCCUGCUUUUGUGGGGUGCUCGAGUGGCGAACGGGUGAGUAACACGUGAGUAACCUGCCCUUGACUUUGGGAUAACUUCAGGAAACUGGGGCUAAUACCGGAUAGGAGCUCCUGCUGCAGGGUGGGGGUUGGAAAGUUUCGGCGGUGGGGGAUGGACUCGCGGCUUAUCAGCUUGUUGGUGGGGUAGGGGCUUACCAAGGCUUUGACGGAUAGCCGGCCUGGGAGGGUGAACGGCCACAUUGGGACUGAGAUACGGCCCAGACUCCUACGGGAGGCAGCAGUGGCGAAUAUGGCCCAAUGGGCGGAAGCCUGAUACAGCAACGUCGCGUGCGUGAUGCCGGCCUUCGGGGUGUAAACCGCUUUCGCCUGUGACGAAGCGGGAGUGACGGUAAUGGGUAAAGAAGCACCGGCUAACUACGUG